AUGUACCGUGCGUACACUGCGGCUCCGCCGCGCCAUCUACGCGCACGUCACGACUGCUCGGGACGUUUUGUUAGCC
rnacentral:sRNA from 1 species